UCCUACGGGGGGCUGCAGUGGGGAAUAUUGCACAAUGGGCGAAAGCCUGAUGCAGCGACGCCGCGUGAGGGAUGACGGCCUUCGGGUUGUAAACCUCUUUCAGUAGGGAAGAAGCGAAAGUGACGGUACCUGCAGAAGAAGCACCGGCUAACUACGUGCCAGCAGCCGCGGUAAUACGUAGGGUGCGAGCGUUAUCCGGAAUUAUUGGGCGUAAAGAGCUCGUAGGCGGUUUGUCGCGUCUGUCGUGAAAGUCCGGGGCUUAACCCCGGAUCUGCGGUGGGUACGGGCAGACUAGAGUGCAGUAGGGGAGACUGGAAUUCCUGGUGUAGCGGUGGAAUGCGCAGAUAUCAGGAGGAACACCGAUGGCGAAGGCAGGUCUCUGGGCUGUAACUGACGCU
rnacentral:rRNA from 1 species